CCUACGGGUGGCAGCAGUAGGGAAUAUUGCUCAAUGGGGGAAAGCCUGAAGCAGCAACGUCGCGUGGAGGAUGAAGGUUUUCGGAGUGUAAAAUCCUUUUGUUAGAGAAGAAAAUGACGGUAUCUAACGAAUAAGCAACGGCUAACUCCGUGCAAGAAGCCGCGGUAAUACGGAGGGUGCAAGCGUUACUCGGAAGCACUGGGCGUAAAGAGCGCGUAGGCGGGAUAGCAAGUCAGAUGUGAAAUCCUAUGGCUUAACCAUAGAACUGCAUUUGAAACUGUUAUUCUAGAGUAUGGGAGAGGUAGGUGGAAUUCUUGGUGUAGGGGUGAAAUCCGUAGAGAUCACGAGGAAUACUCAUUGCGAAGGCGGCCUGCUAGAACAUAACUGACGCUGAUGCGCGAAAGCGUGGGGAGCAAACAGGAUUAGAUACCCCUGUAGUC
rnacentral:rRNA from 1 species